GUUUAAAAGCAGAGAGAGAAAAAUAAUGCAGUUCGAUCGUUCAAACACCUCUCUCUCUCUCCCUGCCUUUCUGGACCUCUCACGAGCAGGGGCGCCUUUCCCCCCUCCCUCCCUCUCCUCCUCCGUCCGACGGAGGAACCGCCGGACCACGCCACGGCCACGAGAUAUUCUCAUCAUAUGGAUUAAGGAAUUUAUACAAGAGUGAAACCUGUUCUUGUUUCAGCCAGAUCUCAGACUCAUAUAAUUGAUUGAGUUGGAAAUAAGGAAAGACCACUUCCUGGAGGAGCAGCAUGUGCAGUAGCUUUGCAAACUUGCAGUAAAAAGAAAUGUCUGGAGUGUUUGAUAGUAACAGUUCCUUGUUGCGCAAGUCGGACAGCGGGGCGGAAGCCAGAGAGACAGCGUUGCAGCUGGACCAAUCAGCGCGCGGCGCCAAGAAGGAACUUGAGAGAGUUUGUUGCUCUCCAUCACCCACCCACCACCUCCUCUCUCCUCUAUAUAAACCGGCACGCGCCCUGGCGCCAGCGAUGUCAUUCUCACCACGCGAGACGGUGGCGAGCCCGGGCGGGUGCGGCAAGGAGUCGUGCCCCUUCUGCGAGAUGUCGAGGCAGCACGCGGCCGGGUGCGCGCGGCGGCUGCCCAAGCGGAUCAUCCUGGUGCGGCACGGCGAGAGCCAGGGGAACCUCGACAUGUCGGCCUACUCCACCACCCCGGACUACCGCAUCCCGCUCACGCCGCGCGGGGUCGAGCAGGCGCGCGCCGCCGGCCGGGGCAUCCUCGACGUCGUCUCCUCCGGGGGCCCCGACGCCAACUGGAAGGUCUACUUCUACGUCUCCCCCUACGAGCGCACCCGGGCCACCCUGCGCGGGAUCGGCGCCGCCUUCCCGCGCGACCGCAUCAUCGGGGCCCGCGAGGAGUGCCGCGUCCGCGAGCAGGACUUCGGCAACUUCCAGGUCGAGGAGCGGAUGCGCGCCAUCAAGGAGACCCGCGAGCGCUUCGGCCGCUUCUUCUUCCGCUUCCCCGAGGGCGAGUCCGCCGCCGACGUCUUCGACCGCGUCGCCAGUUUCCUGGAGUCGCUGUGGAGGGACAUCGACAACGGGAGGCUGGAUCCGAGCACCACCUGCGAGACCAACCUGGUGAUCGUCUCGCACGGCCUCACCUCGCGCGUUUUCAUGAUGAAGUGGUUCAAGUGGACCGUGGAGCAGUUCGAGCGCCUCAACAACUUCGAGAACUGCGAGUUCAGGGUGAUGCAGCUCGGGCCCGGCGGCGAGUACAGCCUCCUCAUGCACCACACCAAGGAGGAGCUCGAGGAGUGGGGCCUGUCGCCGGAGAUGAUCACCGACCAGCAGUGGCGCGCCUCCGCCAACCGCCGCAGCUGGUCUGAGGAGUGCUCCUCCUUCAUGGCCACCUUCUUCGACAACUGGAUCGAUCCGCCAGAGGAGGGGGAGGGGGACGACAAGCGCCAGGAACAAGACGAUGGCAAGAUCAAGUCCCUGGAGUAACCAAUCCGCUCCCCUUUCCCUUAGUAGUUCCUUAGAAUUUGUUCCAAUUUGAUACUGCAACUGCACAUCUCCUUCGUUCCUUCGUCGCGAAGUUCUUCGACAACCGGAAGGAUUCAGAAGAAGAGAAUGGCAAGAUCGAGCUGUUGGAGUAUCCGAACUGACCUGCUCUUUAGUUCCGUCAAAGUUCUUCAGAUUUGAUACUGCUAGUGUGUUCCGCCAUGGAUGGAUGUAGCCAUCGCUGGUUUCCUCUUUGUUGAAUUCGAAACCUGUUCAUAGUAGCUAGACAUUGAGAUACGAUUUGGAGAAAUGCAGAAAUGGGUGCUCUGGUUGAGAACAGAGUCUUGGAGAUUGGUAUUUCUGCAUGUUUUGGUUUCCCUCUCGUCCUGAUUGCCAAGUCUAUUAGGACUAUGCUCAUUGAAUUCGCAACCUGUUCUUAGUAGUUCUUGUUCAAGAGUAGUUAUACACUGAGAUGCUAUUUGGGAAAAUGCAGAAGG
rnacentral:rRNA from 1 species